UGCCCCUUAUGACCUGGGCUACACACGUGCUACAAUGGGAAGUACAACGAGUCGCUAGACCGCGAGGUCAUGCAAAUCUCUUAAAGCUUCUCUCAGUUCGGAUUGCAGGCUGCAACUCGCCUGCAUGAAGCCGGAAUCGCUAGUAAUCGCGGAUCAGCACGCCGCGGUGAAUACGUUCCCGGGCCUUGUACACACCGCCCGUCACACCACGAGAGUUUGUAACACCCGAAGUCGGUGAGGUAACCUUUUUGGAGCCAGCCGCCUAAGGUGGGAUAGAUGAUUGGGGUGAAGUCGUAACAAGGUAGCCGUAUCGGAAGGUGCGGCUGGAUCACCUCCUUUCUAAGGAA
rnacentral:rRNA from 1 species